AACGAACGCUGGCGGCAUGCCUAACACAUGCCAGUCGAACGAGACCUUCGGGUCUAGUGGCGCACGGGUGCGUAACGCGUGGGAACCUGCCCUUAGGUUCGGAAUAACUCCCCGAAAGGGGUGCUAAUACCGGAUAAUGUCUUCGGACCAAAGAUUUAUCGCCUUUGGAUGGGCCCGCGUUGGAUUAGCUAGUUGGUAGGGUAAAAGCCUACCAAGGCGACGAUCCAUAGCUGGUCUGAGAGGAUGAUCAGCCACACUGGGACUGAGACACGGCCCAGACUCCUACGGGAGGCAGCAGUGGGGAAUAGUGGACAAUGGGCGAAAGCCUGAUCCAGCAAUGCCGCGUGAGUGAUGAAGGCCUUAGGGUUGUAAAGCUCUUUUAACCGGGAUGAUAAUGACAGUACCGGGAGAAUAAGCUCCGGCUAACUCCGUG
rnacentral:rRNA from 1 species